rnacentral:rRNA from 1 species
UUAAUUUGAGAGUUUGAUCCUGGCUCAGGACGAACGCUGGCGGCGUGCCUAAUACAUGCAAGUCGAACGA